AUCAGCCUUUUGGGUGUGAUUAUGUGGAGCGUGAGGAGUUAAACGCCUUCAUGCCUGCAUAUUCGUGCACUUUGGUUGUACUUGCCCGUGUGGUUGGUUAACAUCAAUUUUGCUUAUUAAAAAAUGACUGGAGGAAUGUAGCUUCGAUCUCGUAUUGAAGUGUUAUAGCCUUCGGUAGAUGUGAUGAUCGAGAUUGAGGAUUGCAACGGAUACCCUUCGGGGCUACCUGUCUGGUCUCUGAUCGUUGCUCUGGUGCCGAAAGCUUGCUUACGGUUAUCAAAGUCGAUGGUCAAUAGGUUAGAACGGGUUAAAUUCGUUAAGGAUGUUGACGUAAUGGCUUU
rnacentral:rRNA from 1 species